UGAGCAAAUAAACCUUGUAGGAAAUGAGAC
rnacentral:piRNA from 1 species